GACGAACGCUGGCGGCGUGCUUAACACAUGCAAGUCGAACGGAAAGGCCCUGCUUUUGUGGGGUGCUCGAGUGGCGAACGGGUGAGUAACACGUGAGUAACCUGCCCUUGACUUUGGGAUAACUUCAGGAAACUGGGGCUAAUACCGGAUAGGAGCUCCUGCUGCAUGGUGGGGGUUGGAAAGUUUCGGCGGUUGGGGAUGGACUCGCGGCUUAUCAGCUUGUUGGUGGGGUAGUGGCUUACCAAGGCUUUGACGGGUAGCCGGCCUGAGAGGGUGACCGGCCACAUUGGGACUGAGAUACGGCCCAGACUCCUACGGGAGGCAGCGGUGGGGAAUAUUGCACAAUGGGCGGAAGCCUGAUGCAGCGACGCCGCGUGCGGGAUGACGGCCUUCGGGUGGUAAACCGCUUUCGCCUGUGACGAAGCGUGAGUGACGGUAAUGGGUAAAGAAGCACCGGCUAACUACGUG
rnacentral:rRNA from 1 species